rnacentral:rRNA from 1 species
UGAGGAAUAUUGGACAAUGGAUGGAAAUCUGAUCCAGCCAUGCCGCGUGCAGGAAGACGGCCCUAUGGGUUGUAAACUGCUUUUGUAUGGGAGCAAUAAGGUCUAUGCGUAGACUGAUGAGAGUACCAUACGAAUAAGCAUCGGCUAACUCCGUGCCAGCAGCCGCGGUAAUACGGGGGAUGCAAGCGUUACCCGGAUUUAUUGGGUUUAAAGGGUGCGUAGGCGGUUUGAUAAGUCAGCGGUGAAAUAUUUCAGCUUAACUGGAAGGUUGCCUUUGAUACUGUCAGGCUUGAAUAUGGUGGCGGUGGGUGGAAUGUGUGGUGUAGCGGUGAAAUGCAUAGAUAUCACACAGAAUAUCGAUUGCGAAGGCAGCUCACAAAGCCAUUAUUGACGCUGAUGCACGAAAGUGUGGGGAUCAAACA